rnacentral:rRNA from 1 species
GUGAGGAAUGUUGGGCAAUGGGCGAAAGCCUGACCCAGCCACGCCGCGUGAGUGAUGAAGGCCUUCGGGUUGUAAAGCUCUGUGGGGAGGGAAGAAAAAGCGGGAGAGUAACUGCUCUCGUGUUGACGGUACCUCCUUAGCAAGCACCGGCUAACUCUGUGCCAGCAGCCGCGGUAAUACAGAGGGUGCAAACGUUGCUCGGAAUUACUGGGCGUAAAGCGCGUGUAGGCUGACAUGCAAGUCGGGUGUGAAAUCCCAGGGCUCAACCUUGGAACUGCACUCGAAACUGCACGUCUUGAGUACUGGAGAGGGAAGCGGAAUUCCGGGUGUAGAGGUGAAAUUCGUAGAUAUCCGGAGGAACACCAGUGGCGAAGGCGGCUUCCUGGACAGUAACUGACGCUGAGACGCGAAAGCGUGGGGAGCAAACAGGAUUAGAAACCCGAGUAGUCC